CUCUCCAGGAGUCCUUCAGAAGGAAGAAGAUCCUCCUGCAUCAGCGUCCAUUUAGGCUGGGCCGGUUGGAAUGGAAGCCCCUGCCCAGGACAAGCACAUCCUUAAUGUCCGCGACUCUUUCCGGAGAAGCUGAAUUCAGAUUUGUUGUUUGGCGUUGUUCGCCCAGAAUAACCCUGACCGCUUCCUGGGUUCGGAUCCUCACUUUCGUUAUCUACGAAAUUACCUCCAGUGGAGACUUUGUGUUUGGUUCACAGUUUGAGUCAGGGAGCAAGACGCCUCCAGCUUCACUCUGGGGAGUCAGCGCUUCUGGGCCUCUGCGCCCCCCACCCCAGAGCUACAGGAAGAACAUUCCGGACACAACAUUCCUGGAGGCUCCUGCUGGCUCCACACCGUGCUGACCUGGCAGGUCCAGGAUGUCACUCAGCAGUGUUUGGCAAGACGAGUCCACAUUUUGGAUGCGGCUGGACUGUUGACUCUCCCUGUGGUGUCCCAGCGCGCUCCCUGCAGGUGUUCUCACUCUGUUCUCCUCCCGCGUGAGGGGUGAGGAGAGGGUGUGUCAUUAAUAUGUUUCUUCUGUGGUGAGAUCACAGCACCGCCAGGAUUCUCCACUUUCAACAUUUAACACUAACAGAAGGACUUUCCACGCCAUUAAAGACUGUUUAGUGUUACUGUAUCUAGCUUUUACAUUUAAUUUUGUGUAUAUUGGGGGGGUUUAUUUGGAUAGUUUUGAAUCAUUUUACUGUAAAUAAAGUGUUAUUGAACAUUGUUACACAUAAAGAUUUAUC